GAGACUGGUCCAUCGGUAAAGAGUGAUCAAGCACAUUUACCAAACCACGCUCCGGUGCUUUACUCCAACGGGUAAGGUAUUGAACGGAAGAGUGAAAAGGCAGCGGUGAGAGAACCGUGUCAGGU
rnacentral:ncRNA from 1 species